rnacentral:rRNA from 1 species
GACGAACGCUGGCGGCGUGCCUAAUACAUGCAAGUAGAACGCUGAAGGAGGAGCUUGCUUCUCUGGAUGAGUUGCGAACGGGUGAGUAACGCGUAGGUAACCUGCCUGGUAGCGGGGGAUAACUAUUGGAAACGAUAGCUAAUACCGCAUAAGAGUAGAUGUCGCAUGACAUUUGCUUAAAAGGUGCAAUUGCAUCACUACCAGAUGGACCUGCGUUGUAUUAGCUAGUUGGUGAGGUAACGGCUCACCAAGGCAACGAUACAUAGCCGACCUGAGAGGGUGAUCGGCCACACUGGGACUGAGACACGGCCCAGACUCCUACGGGAGGCAGCAGUAGGGAAUCUUCGGCAAUAGACGGAAGUCUGACCGAGCAACGCCGCGUGAGUGAAGAAGGUUGUCGGAUCGUAAAGCUCUGUUGUAAGAGAAGAACGAGUGUGAGAGUGGAAAGUUCACACUGUGACGGUAUCUUACCAGAAAGGGACGGCUAACUACGUG